UGACGAGUUUGAUCCUGGCUCAGAUUGAACGCUGGCGGAAUGCUUUACUACAUGCAAGUCGAACGGUAGAGGGGGCAACCCCUCGAGAGUGGCGAACGGGUGAGUAAUAUAUCGGAACGGUGCCCAGUCGUGGGGGAUAACGUAGCGAAAGUUACGCUAAUACCGCAUACGAUCUAAGGAUGAAAGCGGGGGAUCGCAAGACCUCGCGCGAUUGGAGCGGCCGAUAUCAGAUUAGGUAGUUGGUGAGGUAAAGGCUCACCAAGCCAACGAUCUGUAGCUGGUCUGAGAGGACGACCAGCCACACUGGAACUGAGACACGGUCCAGACUCCUA
rnacentral:rRNA from 1 species